rnacentral:rRNA from 1 species
AUGAUGGCCCUAGUGUGUUUGUGGAGCCACUAUACCAUGGCCAAGUCCCGUGGCCGUCGCUCCUGCAUCGCGCUAGGUCCCUGCGUUGUGCCCCUGUUGUUGUUCACGCCAAGUCCAACGGUCACCGAACAGGGAAUAUGGAGUACCAGGUCAUCGAAAUCGCCAAGUUCGUCUUUUGAUGUCUCCGAAAACGCCAAGUACCCCUUCAUGUCGGCAAGACCUGCAAGUCGAACCCCGAACGAUCAACGACUCGUGGACCAUGUACAACUAGCUGACUAG